rnacentral:lncRNA from 1 species
AAGAGAGAGUUUGCCGCGCAAGACUUUGAUGUGCUUGCAUCUUGAUCAUGCUCCCCCCUCAACACCAGUGUCAGUGCCUGUGUGUAUGGCUGCAGUCGGAGGCCUGCAGAUUGGAAUGCUGAUGAUGGGACGCAGAAGUGCUGAGGAAUGAAUGUGUGCAUGGUAAGCAAUAAUCUGGUUGUGAGUGUCCACAACUCUUACAAAAAAUGAAGCUACCUUUGAUGGCCUCUCUUUUCUCUUUCCUUCUGUUUCCUUCUGUUUCCUUCUGUUUCCUUCU